AAAGACCCCGUGAACCUUUACUAUAGCUUGACACUGAACAUUGAGCCUUGAUGUGUAGGAUAGGUGGGAGGCUUUGAAGUGUGGACGCCAGUCUGCAUGGAGCCGGCCUUGAAAUACCACCCUUUAAUGUUUGAUGUUCUAACGUGGACCCGUAAUCCGGGUUGCGGACAGUGUCUGGUGGGUAGUUUGACUGGGGCGGUCUCCUCCUAAAGAGUAACGGAGGAGCACGAAGGUUGGCUAAUCCUGGUCGGACAUCAGGAGGUUAGUGCAAUGGCAUAAGCCAGCUUGACUGCGAGCGUGACGGCGCGAGCAGGUGCGAAAGCAGGUCAUAGUGAUCCGGUGGUUCUGAAUGGAAGGGCCAUCGCUCAACGGAUAAAAGGUACUCCGGGGAUAACAGGCUGAUACCGCCCAAGAGUUCAUAUCGACGGCGGUGUUUGGCACCUCGAUGUCGGCUCAUCACAUCCUGGGGCUGAAGUAGGUCCCAAGGGUAUGGCUGUUCGCCAUUUAAAGUGGUACGCGAGCUGGGUUUAGAACGUCGUGAGACAGUUCGGUCCCUAUCUGCCGUGGGCGCUGGAGAACUGAGGGGGGCUGCUCCUAGUACGAGAGGACCGGAGUGGACGCAUCACUGGUGUUCGGGUUGUCAUGCCAAUGGCACUGCCCGGUAGCUAAAUGCGGAAGAGAUAAGUGCUGAAAGCAUCUAAGCACGAAACUUGCCCCGA
rnacentral:rRNA from 1 species